rnacentral:rRNA from 1 species
ACGCUCGACACCUACGAGGCAGCAGUGGGGAAUAUUGCACAAUGGGGGAAACCCUGAUGCAGCGACGCCGCGUGGAGGAAGAAGGUCUUCGGAUUGUAAACUCCUGUUGUUGGGGAAAAAGAGGAUGGUACCCAACAAGGAAGUGACGGCUAACUACGUGCCAGCGCCGCGGUAAUCUGAGCGGGCUGGCAAGGC